rnacentral:rRNA from 1 species
UCCGUAGGUGAACCUGCGGAGGGAUCAUUACCGAGUUUACAACUCCCAAACCCCAAUGUGAACGUUACCAAUCUGUUGCCUCGGCGGGAUUCUCUUGCCCCGGGCGCGUCGCAGCCCCGGAUCCCAUGGCGCCCGCCGGAGGACCAACUCCAAACUCUUUUUUUCUCUCCGUCGCGGCUCCCGUCGCGGCUCUGUUUUAUUUUUGCUCUGAGCCUUUCUCGGCGACCCUAGCGGGCGUCUCGAAAAUGAAUCAAAACUUUCAACAACGGAUCUCUUGGUUCUGGCAUCGAUGAAGAACGCAGCGAAAUGCGAUAAGUAAUGUGAAUUGCAGAAUUCAGUGAAUCAUCGAAUCUUUGAACGCACAUUGCGCCCGCCAGUAUUCUGGCGGGCAUGCCUGUCCGAGCGUCAUUUCAACCCUCGAACCCCUCCGGGGGGUCGGCGUUGGGGGAUCGGCCCCUCACCGGGCCGCCCCCGAAAUACAGUGGCGGUCUCGCCGCAGCCUCUCCUGCGCAGUAGUUUGCACACUCGCACCGGGAGCGCGGCGCGGCCACAGCCGUAAAACACCCCAAACUUCUGAAAUGUUGACCUCGGAUCAGGUAGGAAUACCCGCUGAACUUAAGCAUAUCAAUAAGCGGAGGA